UAACUUUGUGCGGUGGAUCACUC
rnacentral:rRNA from 10 species